rnacentral:sRNA from 1 species
GCUGGGCGUGGUGGUGCGUGCCUGUAAUCCCAGCUACUCAGGAGGCUGAGUCAGGAGAAUCGCUUGAACCCAGGAGGCCGAGGUUGCAGUGAGCCGAGAUGGCACCACUGCACUCCAGCUUGGGUGACAGAGCAAGACUCUGUCUCGA